GGGCCCGACCGGUUUUGACAGCGAGCGCGAUUGGUAAGUAAGCAGGUGGUGCGUUGUGGAUAUGGCACCUUAAACUCAACUCUCAAACUUUUAUUCGGCGAAGAGAAUUCUUACGCUAUGGCUGCUUAGUCCAAGACUAACCAACCUUUGCAAAUCUCGUAGCAUCGUUGCUUAGCGACGAGGUAUUUGCAUCAUAAAUUAGCAACUUGUUUUAGUGAUGAUGUUAUCUAAAGCAAUAUUAGCAUCUAAGUUUAAGUUUGGUAUGAAUAAACGCCUGACUUAAAUCGAAAACCAAGUUUGUUCUAAACUUUGUAGAAAGCUUAUUAAUUCCUUGUUUGGACGAGAGUUCGAAUCUCUCCGGGUCCACAU
rnacentral:tmRNA from 1 species